rnacentral:rRNA from 1 species
UACGGAGGGGGCAAGCGUUGUUCGGAAUUACUGGGCGUAAAGGGCGCGCAGGCGGCUGCUCAAGUCAGGCGUGAAAGGCCCGGGCUCAACCCGGGAAUUGCGCUUGAGACUGGGCUGGCUUGAGUGCGGGAGAGGAUGGUGGAAUUCCCAGUGUAGAGGUGAAAUUCGUAGAUAUUGGGAAGAACACCGGUGGCGAAGGCGGAUCUCUGGGCCUUACCUGACGCUGAGGAGCGAAAGCAUGGGGAGCAAACAGG